rnacentral:ncRNA from 1 species
GCCGACUCAAAAGAGCCUGAUGCCCAGGCAGCCUGGGAGAAAUCCUUGACCCUGAUCCUUGCAGCCAUGGCCGGGUCCAACUAUAUCCA